ACGAAGGUCCCGAGCGUUGUUCGGAAUCACUGGGCGUAAAGGGAGCGUAGGCGGUUAGGUAAGUCAGAUGUGAAAUCUCAGGGCUCAACCCUGAAACUGCAUCCGAUACUGCCUGACUAGAGUAAUGGAGGGGUAGCUGGAAUUCUCGGUGUAGCAGUGAAAUGCGUAGAUAUCGAGAGGAACACUCGUGGCGAAGGCGAGCUACUGGACAUUUACUGACGCUGAGGCUCGAAGGCUAGGGUAGCGAAAGGG
rnacentral:rRNA from 1 species